UCCAUCGUGGUGUAGUGGCUAACAUUGCUGUCUUUCAUCGAUGCUUACAAAAUCGGGCACAGCAGCCCGGGGUUCGAUUCCCCGCGAUGGAA